rnacentral:rRNA from 1 species
AGAUUGAACGCUGGCGGCAUGCCUAACACAUGCAAGUCGAACGGGAGUAGCAAUACUCUAGUGGCGGACGGGUGAGGAAUACGUAGGAAUUUGCCCUUAAGUGGGGGAUAACCCGGGGAAACCCGGAUUAAUACCGCAUGACCUCGAAAGAGCAAAGUGGGGGAUCGCAAGACCUCACGCUUUUGGAGAAGCCUACGUCGGAUUAGCUAGUUGGUGAGGUAAUGGCUCACCAAGGCGACGAUCCGUAACUGGUCUGAGAGGAUGAUCAGUCACACCGGAACUGAGACACGGUCCGACUCCUACGGGAGCAGCAGUGGGAAUAUUGGACAAGUGGGCGCAAGCCUGAUCCAGCAAUGCCGCGUGUGUGAGAAGCCUUCGGUUAGUAAAGCGUACGUUUAAGUUAGGGAAAGAAAAACGUCGACUACUAAAC